AGUCGAGGGGCAGCGGGAUUGAAGCUUGCUUCAAUUGCCGGCGACCGGCGCACGGGUGAGUAACGCGUAUCCAACCUUCCGCUUACUCGGGGAUAGCCUUUCGAAAGAAAGAUUAAUACCCGAUGGUAUCUUAAGCACGCAUGAGAUUAAGAUUAAAGAUUUAUCGGUAAGCGAUGGGGAUGCGUUCCAUUAGGCAGUUGGCGGGGUAACGGCCCACCAAACCUACGAUGGAUAGGGGUUCUGAGAGGAAGGUCCCCCACAUUGGAACUGAGACACGGUCCAAACUCCUACGGGAGGCAGCAGUGAGGAAUAUUGGUCAAUGGGCGAGAGCCUGAACCAGCCAAGUAGCGUGAAGGAUGACGGCCCUACGGGUUGUAAACUUCUUUUGUGCGGGAAUAAAGGAACCUACGUGUAGGUUUUUGCAUGUACCGUAACGAAUAAGCAUCGGCUAACUCCGUGCCAGCAGCCGCGGUAAUACGGAGGAUGCGAGCGUUAUUCGGAUUUAUUGGGUUUAAAGGGAGCGUAGACGGGUUUUUAAGUCAGCUGUGAAAGUUUGGGGCUCAACCUUAAAAUUGCAGUUGAAACUGGAGACCUUGAGUACGGUUGAGGCAGGCGGAAUUCGUGGUGUAGCGGUGAAAUGCUUAGAUAUCACGAAGAACCCCGAUUGCGAAGGCAGCCUGCUAAGCCGCCACUGACGUUGAGGCUCGAAAGUGCGGGUAUCAAACAGGAUUAGAUACCCUGGUAGUCCGCACGGUAAACGAUGGAUACUCGCUGUUGGCGAUAGACUGUCAGCGGCCAAGCGAAAGCGUUAAGUAUCCCACCUGGGGAGUACGCCGGCAACGGUGAAACUCAAAGGAAUUGACGGGGG
rnacentral:rRNA from 1 species